rnacentral:rRNA from 1 species
CGAACGCCCCGCAAGGGGAGUGGCAGACGGGUGAGUAACACGUGGGAACAUACCCUUCGGUACGGAAUAGCUCAGGGAAACUUGGAUUAAUACCGUAUACGCCUUGGCGGGGAAAGAUUGAUCGCCGAAGGAUUGGCCCGCGUCCGAUUAGCUAGUUGGUGAGGUAACGGCUCACCAAGGCGACGAUCGGUAGCUGGUCUGAGAGGAUGGCCAGCCACAUUGGGACUGAGACACGGCCCAA